rnacentral:lncRNA from 1 species
GGUAGGGCUGAUGCCGUCCUGCUUCUGGGUCAAAUCUGAGGCAUUUCUUCCUGCCCUGAGCGUGUUUGGUUUUGCUGAAGGUGGUAUCGUAAAGGUGACAGCUUUGCUGAGCCUAAUGGGCCUGCCUUCCCUACAUGAAUUCUCAGUAACUUUCAAGAGCUACCGGUGAGAAGAGGGCAGGGUUAUACUGAGAGACAGUGGAGAUGUCCCAGAGGAAAACCAGUCUCCAGUUCUGUUUCUUCAUGACGUUGAACUCCAAGAAUUCUCCCUAUGUGCUGUGCUGCCUCUUAUUCCUGUGCCUUUGCCCAUUCUCAUCUUUUGGCCAGGAGUAGCUUUUCCCUGUCCCUUCCUUUACCUGCC